rnacentral:rRNA from 1 species
UACGUAGGUGGCAAGCGUUGUCCGGAUUUAUUGGGUUUAAAGGGUGCGCAGGCGGUUCCAUAAGUCAGUGGUGAAAUACGGCAGCUCAACUGUCGAGGUGCCAUUGAUACUGCGGAACUUGAGUGUUGACGAGGCAGGCGGAAUUGACGGUGUAGCGGUGAAAUGCUUAGAUAUCGUCAAGAACACCGAUAGCGAAGGCAGCUUGCCAGGCAACAACUGACGCUCAGGCACGAAAGUGCGGGGAUCAAACAGG